GACGAACGCUGGCGGCGUGCUUAACACAUGCAAGUCGAACGGUAAGGCCCUUCGGGGUACACGAGUGGCGAACGGGUGAGUAACACGUGGGUGACCUGCCCUGCACUUCGGGAUAAGCCUGGGAAACUGGGUCUAAUACCGGAUAGGACCACUGCCUGCAUGGGUGGUGGUGGAAAGCUUUUGCGGUGUGGGAUGGGCCCGCGGCCUAUCAGCUUGUUGGUGGGGUGAUGGCCUACCAAGGCGACGACGGGUAGCCGGCCUGGGAGGGUGGCCGGCCACACUGGGACUGAGAUACGGCCCAGACUCCUACGGGAGGCAGCAGUGGGGAAUAUUGCACAAUGGGCGCAAGCCUGAUGCAGCGACGCCGCGUGAGGGAUGACGGCCUUCGGGUUGUAAACCUCUUUCAGCACCGACGAAGCGCAAGUGACGGUAGGUGCAGAAGAAGGACCGGCCAACUACGUGCCAGCCGCCGCCGUAA
rnacentral:rRNA from 1 species